UUUAUUUGAUGGUACCACACUACUCGGAUAACCGUAGUAAAGCUACAGCUAAUACGUGCGUAACUCCCGACUUACGAAGGGACGUAUUUAUUAGAUUCAAGGCCGACCGUGCUCUGCACGUCUUUGGUGAAUCAUGGUAACUUCACGAAUCGCAGGGUCUAUCCCGGCGAUGUUUCAUUCAACUUUCUGCCCUAUCAACUUUCGACGGUAGUAUAGAGGACUACCGUGGUGGUAACGGGUGACGGAGGAUUAGGGUUCGAUU
rnacentral:rRNA from 1 species